CACUACCCUCGUUAGAGCAUCUAAGCAGAAAAAAAGGGGUCCUCAGCUGAGGUCUUUGCUAUGGCUGACAAGAUUAAGCAUUUUUUUAUUUUUGUUUUUAUUUUUUGCUGAUAACCAUUCCCUUAUGUCACUCUCGGUCCUCACCUUGAUUCGAGUCAGUUUCUGGGGCUCCACUAUGCACAGCUGGGGCUUCCCCCACCAGACCAAGAUUCUCCCUUCCCUGAGACCCUCCAGGCCGAAAUGACAGUCACCUCAACCUGACAGCUCUUCCUGAGCUUCCCAAGUCACAGGAGAGGUUGGAUUUGGGAAGCAAUGCUAAGCAGUGGAAUGGACAUCGACAUAGAGAGAUCAGCUCCACACUUAUACUCUGCCACUCAACUUCCCCAUGUGACUUGAGGAUCACUCUAACUCCAAAACAUAGCAAGCUCGCGGAACAUCAGGGUUCAUGCAAAGUAUUCCAAGGAGCCCCUUGAAGCAACAGAAUGGAUUGCUCUUCUAUGGUGGAAUGGCACCCUGGAUGAUUAAAACCGUAGCAGCAAACAAAACCUCCAUCAAAUAUUCCUGAAAACAGAGUCAAGUUAUAUUUCUAAAGUACUAGCGUCUGCUUAAAGAAAUGACAAGGUGAAGUCUUUCACAAAGUAAGCAUUCAAUGUAUGAUUUCUCUGCUAUGUAAAUCUGGUUGUUCAUACAGUUUCUAUGACAUAAUUGGCCACGAC
rnacentral:lncRNA from 1 species